rnacentral:tRNA from 1 species
GGAAUAUAACUCAGUUGAUAGAGUGCUUGCCUUGCAUGCACAAGGCCCUGGGUUCAAUCCCAGCACCA